CUUAAACAUUGAGAGCGCAAGGACAAGGUAUAGUGGGUAACUUCCUAUUUAGAGUCUCAAACUCGAGUAACUUGUGCGCAAGCCAUUUUAGAUUUGUCUUUUGGCGUUUGAAUUUAGGCUAAUUUAAUAGCUCAGCACUUUUUUGCAUAAUCAUAUAGAGGGCAAAAUUACUCAAAUAUGAUUGCCUAAUAUGAUGAGAGCAUUUUUUCUUAAAAUUCAGGGCAAAAUUACUGUACCUAUAAAUUAGCUGAGACGCAAGCGCGG